rnacentral:rRNA from 1 species
UACGUAGGGGGCAAGCGUUAUCCGGAUUUACUGGGUGUAAAGGGGGCGCAGACGGCAGCGCAAGCCAGGAGUGAAAGCCCGGGGCCCAACCCCGGGACUGCUCUUGGAACUGCGCGGCUGGAGUGCAGGAGGGGCAGGCGGAAUUCCUGGUGUAGCGGUGAAAUGCGUAGAUAUCAGGAGGAACACCGGUGGCGAAGGCGGCCUGCUGGACUGCGACUGAUGUUGAGGCCCGAAAGCGUGGGGAGCAAACAGG